UGGCCGCCCACGCAGAGCGCCAGAAACCAGGUCUCCAAGUUGAGGCUCGCCGCUCAUCAGAUGACAGAUAAGUCCUUCGAAAUGCCACAGGUAGCUCCAGUAUUCAUCAGGAGAACAAAAGAAGGUGAGCUUUGUGUCCAUGGCCACAGAAGUCUCAGACCGGUCUACCCCAUGAGUUAUUGGAUCCCAUUGACUGCUCAUCUUCUGAACCAGCUCCCUGGAGCAAGGAGUCCUUAUUAAAUAGGAACUCCAGGGCACUUAUAACCUCCUAUAAUGAGAAGCUCUUGAGCUCUUUCACACGAUGAAAAGGAAAUUGCCACAGCCAUUCCAACCUUCAGCAACCACCACCCUGAUCAGUCAGAAGCGACUGACGUGGAGAAAAGACCCUCCAUCAGCAAAACAUUUAUAACUCAAUGAUGGCUCAGAUGAUGCAUAAAUCCGUGAGGCCAAAGGUAACAAGAGAGAAGACAACAGCAACAAAACUCCAGAAGCUGGAAAGCAGAUGGAUGAGUGUUAACUGACUGAGCAGAGUUGAAAAAUUUGGAUCUUAAAAGAGAAAUAUGAAAAACCAAAAAGCAAUUCAUUUUUCUCCACAGAAACCCACCCUUAAAAGGCCAAGGAAUUGUUGCACCAGGUACCAAUGAAAAUAUGGGUGAAAAAGGGACCAAAAUCAGAAGGAUUGGGUGAAGAUUUACCUGUGAAGCAAUCUGACUCCUACAUUCUCUUUACCUCUCCAAAACUGGGUAACAGCCCCACCUCCACUGCAGAAAAUCUGAGCUGUAUUUUUGUGUGUGUUUUUUGGGGGGUGGGGGGGGUUGAGCUAUAUUUUUAGAAGCCAGUAAAGCAGUUGAGGGCCUGGGUACCAAACUGAAAACUGGGGGAGUAAGUGAAAGUUCACAUAGUGAGUGCUGAGGCUACUCUUCCUCCCAGAACCCUUUUCCUCUCAUUCAGAUCCCAGAAUACUUGGAGGCCUGUACGUUCAGCAAGAGAUUCUAAGUCCUUCUCUAGGAAAUCUGAACAGCUCAAGAGAAAAGACCUAAAUACACUUAUACUGGAAUACAUGAAAGAAACAGACACUGAUACUAUAUAAUAAAGAAUUUGGCUGCCCUUUGUCUCAGGUUCCUAGGAGGGAGCCUCUAAAUGCUGGGAAUUGGGGGAGGGAAAUAGCUCAGUGGUAGAGUACAUGCUUAGCAUACACAAGGUCCUGGGUUCAAUCCCCAGUAUCUCCACUAAAAAGAAAAAAAUUUUUUAAAUAAAAUUAAUGCUCAGAAUUCCCUGAGUGACAGGAGUGUCAUUGUUAUUCAUGGUGGGCCCCUGGGGCCACACCUGAACGUUUAUAUUAAAAGGGGAUUCAGAGUGGGCCCCUAGAUAGUUUGUGCUGAGAUGACUCAGAAUGGGGGCUAGCCAUGCCAGAAAGACCAACCCUAUGAUUAGACGGUUAGGGCUUUUCAGUCAGCAAAGACAGAAGACCUGGAAAAUGAGUUCAACCAUGUGGCCAAUGAUUCAGUCACUCAUACCUACAAAAUGAAACCCCAAUAAAAACUCUGGACAUCAAAGUCUGGGUGAGCUUCCCUAGUUGGAAACACUUUUACUAUUGUCACAUACUGAUAUGCCAGGAGGGCAAUGUGCCCUGAUUCCAUGAGGAGAAGACAACAGAAACUUUGCAUCUUGGAACCCUCUCAGACCCUGCCUUGUGUGUCUCUCCUUUUGACUAGUUCUGAUUUUCUUUUUGCUAUAAUAAAACUUUCAGUGGGUUCCGUGAGCUGAUCUAAUGAAUUAUUUACCUGAAGGGCAGCAAAGGCCCCUGAGUUUGUAGCCAGCUGUUCAACAGUGGGAGUGGCCUAGAAACACCCAAACUUAUGGCUACUGUCUGAAGUAAGGACAGUAUUAUAGAAGAUUAUGCCCUUAAUCUGUGAAAUUUAGCCUAAUUCCAAGAAGUUAGUAUCAGAAGUCAUCACAAAUAUUAGGGACACUCCCCCAAGGAAACAUCCCAGCCAGAUCAUCUUACAGUAAAUAACACCCAACAACUCAGCACUCCCUAUCUAUCAAGCUUUCAGUGUCUCACUCUUAAAAAAAAAAAAAAAAAAAAAAAGCCUUAA